CACUCCUGCGGGAGGCAGCAGUGGGGAAUUUUGGACAAUGGGCGAAAGCCUGAUCCAGCAAUGCCGCGUGAGUGAAGAAGGCCUUCGGGUUGUAAAGCUCUUUUGUCAGGGAAGAAACGGUGAAAGCUAAUAUCUUUUGCUAAUGACGGUACCUGAAGAAUAAGCACCGGCUAACUACGUGCCAGCAGCCGCGGUAAUACGUAGGGUGCAAGCGUUAAUCGGAAUUACUGGGCGUAAAGCGUGCGCAGGCGGUUUUGUAAGUCUGAUGUGAAAUCCCCGGGCUCAACCUGGGAAUUGCAUUGGAGACUGAAAGGCUAGAAUCUGGCAGAGGGGGGUAGAAUUCCACGUGUAGCAGUGAAAUGCGUAGAUAUGUGGAGGAACACCGAUGGCGAAGGCAGCCCCCUGGGUCAAGAUUGACGCUCAUGCACGAAAGCGUGGGGAGCAAACAGGAUUAGAAACCCCAGUAGUCCCA
rnacentral:rRNA from 1 species